rnacentral:ncRNA from 4 species
AUACCCUGUAGAACCGAAUUUGUG